rnacentral:lncRNA from 1 species
CCCCACCUUUCAAGUUACAAAAUGUCCUAGCUGAUGGAUAGAAAUAUCUCAGAUGGUUGACUGGUGUCUGUGUAUGGCACCCUGUACAGCUGUAGCAGGGGAGAAAAAAACAUCUGGGAGAAGCCUAGUUCCACCCCCUCUUUUACAACAGUAAGGGUUCCUGGGGUUGGAGGGAGCACACAGGAGAGAGGGAGGGGAAGCAAUGGCUGUUUACAGGUUUAUAUUAAUGAUGGCUCUAAAAAUGAAAAUAAAAGCUAAACAUAGCGAAUUCUUUUAAGUCAGAAGAAUCCUUGAAGGAAGUACACAAGGGUCCACAUGACGUUCCUGCUGAGGAAGUGGGACUGAUGCCAAGUUCACUUCCUCUCCAGAGUGGGUACUUAAGGGGCUCUCCCUGCAGGAGGAGCAUCAUAUCUUCCCUCUCCUCUCCUGAGUCUCUCUCCUCACUGCACCUGAAUCCUCUCUACUAACACCAUGGGUUGCUGUGGCUGUGGAGGUUGUGGUGGCUGUGGCGGCUGCGGCGGCUGCGGCUGUGGUGGCUGUGGCUGUGGCUGUGGCGGCUGUGGCUGUGGCGGCUGUGGCUGUGGCGGCUGUGGCUGUGGCGGCUGUGGCUGUGGCUGUGGCGGCUGUGGCUGUGGCUGUGGCGGUUGUGGCUGCUGUAGUGGCUGCUGUGGCUGCUGCAAGCCUACGGUAGUCUGCUGCUGCCGCCGCACCUGCUGCCGCUCCUGUGGCUGUGACUCCUGUGGCUGCGGCUGCGGCUGCGGCUGUGGGAAGGGCUGUUGCCAGCAGAAGUGCUGCUGCCAGCAGAAGUGUGGCUGCAAGAAAUGUUGCUGCUAGGCUUACCACUUCACUUUGGAUCUCUCCUGCAUACCUUCUCCCCCCAUCUCUUGACUUCUCCUGCAGGUAAUUGCUAUUGGUGAGUUGUGUCAGGGUAUCUGUUUCCAUUUGUCUGUAGGCUACAACUGUGACCUGAGUCUGUCACCAGCCUGUGGAAAUCCCACACUUUGUAACAAUUAUAGAAAUAAACAAAUAUGCAGCCUUCUCCUUAAAUCACCACAUUUUAAUCAUAACUAUGAUGGAAUGCAGUCAAAAUAGUUAAUGAUGUCCCUUCUUAAAUCGCCCAUUUUUAUGUUCUGUUUUUACCUCUGCAAAGCUUCUCUGUGUUCACAAAGCAACUCCUGUCUUAAUAAAUUACACUAAACCAACCUCAAAGAGUCAUCUUUUUUUUUCUCCCCCAUCUUUCCAUUCUUUAAACUUCCCUAGACACAAAAGUUUUAUCUCAGCAGAUAAGGCCAAUCAAUUUGAAAAGGGGU